rnacentral:rRNA from 1 species
UACGUAGGGUGCGAGCGUUAAUCGGAAUUACUGGGCGUAAAGCGUGCGCAGGCGGUGAUGUAAGACAGAUGUGAAAGCCCCGGGCUCAACCUGGGAACCGCGCUUGAGACUGGCACGCUAGAGUUCGGGAGAGGAUGGUGGAAUUCCCAGUGUAGAGGUGAAAUUCGUAGAUAUUGGGAAGAACACCGAUGGCGAAGGCAGCCAUCUGGACCGACACUGACGCUGAGGCGCGAAAGCGUGGGGAGCAAACAGG